rnacentral:misc_RNA from 1 species
GAUGAAGACGUAGUGAAAUGCGAUAAGUAGUGUGAAUUGCAGAAUUCAGUGAAUCAUCGAAUCUUUGAACGCACAUUGCGCCCUUUGGUAUUCCAAAGGGCAUGCCUGUUCGAGCGUCAUUUGUACCCUCAAGCUUUGCUUGGUGUUGGGCGUCUUGUCUCUAGCUUUGCUGGAGACUCGCCUUAAAGUAAUUGGCAGCUGGCCUACUGGUUUCGGAGCGCAGCACAAGUCGCACUCUCUAUCAACAAAGGUCUAGCAUCCAUUAAGCCUUUUUUUCAACUUUUGACCUCGGAUCAGGUAGGGAUACCCGCUGAACUUAAGCAUAUCAAUAAGCGGAGGA